rnacentral:rRNA from 1 species
GACGAACGCUGGCGGCGUGCUUAACACAUGCAAGUCGAGCGGUAAGGCCCUUUGGGGUACACGAGCGGCGAACGGGUGAGUAACACGUGAGUAAUCUGCCUUUGGCUUGGGAAUAACUUCGGGAAAUCGGGGCUAAUGCCUGAUGUUUACUGUCUGCUGCAUGGUGGGUGGUGGAAAGAUUUUUUGGCCAGGAUGAGCUCGCGGUCUAUCAGCUUGUUGGUGGGGUAAGUGG